GAUGAACGCUGGCGGCGUGCCUAAUACAUGCAAGUCGAGCGAACGGACGAGAAGCUUGCUUCUCUGAUGUUAGCGGCGGACGGGUGAGUAACACGUGGAUAACCUACCUAUAAGACUGGGAUAACUUCGGGAAACCGGAGCUAAUACCGGAUAAUAUUUUGAACCGCAUGGUUCAAAAGUGAAAGACGGUCUUGCUGUCACUUAUAGAUGGAUCCGCGCUGCAUUAGCUAGUUGGUAAGGUAACGGCUUACCAAGGCAACGAUGCAUAGCCGACCUGAGAGGGGUGUCCGCCCACCUGGACCUGACACCCGGCCCAACCUCCUAGGGGAGGCGCAAGGGGGGAUUCUCCCCCAAGGGGCGAAAGCCGGAGGGACCAACGCCGGGGGGGUGAUGAGGGUCUGCGUGUCGUAAAACUUUUUUUUGGGGAAAAAACAUAUGGGAAAGUAACUGUCCACAUUUGGGGGGUCCCUAAAGAAAACGCCGCGGCUAACUCCGU
rnacentral:rRNA from 1 species